rnacentral:lncRNA from 1 species
ACUCGAACACAGUUCUGGCUCUCAACAAGGAUCGCAGCAUCAAACAUCUCAACCAACGAGAACCUCAAACAAGGCAAAAGCAGAAAUCCAAGCCACGGACGAGGCGAAAAGCCAGACAGAAAGGGAGUUGAGUACUGGACUGAACGAUUUAUAUAUUCUUCACAAACCACAACCAAAAAAGAGUACUUGAUUAGCAACUCCAUUACAGAUACUAGAGGUUGAUGCGGAAAACAGAAGGUAACUCAUGUCCAACUAACAUGAACCAGGCGUCGUCUGGCGACACCAUCCACAUUUAUUCUUCGCAUAGACAAAGCAGGGACACCUCUGACCAGGCGCCACAAACGAAAGCAGAACGCUCUACUGAGUCUUGGCCAUGUGGCGGAUCAGGUCGACAACGCGGUUGCUGCAGAGGAAUAAGAUUCAAG